GAUGAACGCUGGCGGCGUGCCUAAUACAUGCAAGUCGAGCGAACAGACGAGGAGCUUGCUCCUCUGACGUUAGCGGCGGACGGGUGAGUAACACGUGGAUAACCUACCUAUAAGACUGGGAUAACUUCGGGAAACCGGAGCUAAUACCGGAUAAUAUAUUGAACCGCAUGGUUCAAUAGUGAAAGACGGUUUUGCUGUCACUUAUAGAUGGAUCCGCGCCGCAUUAGCUAGUUGGUAAGGUAACGGCUUACCAAGGCGACGAUGCGUAGCCGACCUGAGAGGGUGAUCGGCCACACUGGAACUGAGACACGGUCCAGACUCCUACGGGAGGCAGCAGUAGGGAAUCUGCCGCAAUGGGCGUAAGCCUGACGGAGCAACGCCGCGUGAGUGAUGAAGGUCUUCGGAUCGUAAAACUCUGUUAUUAGGGAAGAACAAAUGUGUAAGUAACUAUGCACGUCUUGACGGUACCUAAUCAGAAAGCCACGGCUAACUACGUG
rnacentral:rRNA from 1 species